rnacentral:rRNA from 1 species
UACGGAGGGGGCAAGCGUUAUUCGGAAUUAUUGGGCGUAAAGGGCGCGUAGGCGGCUAGAUGUGUCAAAGGUGAAAUCCCUCGGCUCAACUGAGGAACUGCCUUUGAAACUGUCUGGCUUGAGGCCGGGAGAGGGUAGCGGAAUUCCCAGCGUAGCGGUGAAAUGCGUAGAUAUUGGGAGGAACACCAGUGGCGAAGGCGGCUACCUGGACCGGUUCUGACGCUGAGGCGCGAAAGCGUGGGUAGCAAACAGG